AUGAGUCCCGAGCCUUUGACGUGCGGAGUGAGGGCUUCAGCGGAGGCCGCCUGGAUGGUCUGGUCUGGGCUCAUGGUCCUGUCUGCAAGGGCUCCUGGCACCGGGUCACUGCAGCCUGAGCCCGCCGUGGUCUCACGUGAGAAGUGACGGAAGUGGAGAGAGGGGCACUCUCACCACACUCGGGUCCUGGAGGAAAGCACCCAGUCUUUACCACUGAGCCUGACGUUGGCAGCCCUGGCAGAUGUGUCCGUGUGAGUGGAAUCUGCUCCCCAGGAAAUUGUGAGGCUGGGUGACCCUUGUCAGCCACACAGUGUCUCUACUUCAAAGCACACAAUGUCUACAUCCUCCCCGUCAUCCUUGUCUUGACCACUUGGUCUCGGCUCCACGACCACAUGGACCCCAGGCCCAUCCUCAGGACUUGUGCUGAAGCUUCUCCAGUUUUCUUGUGGUUGUUGGAAGUUGAUUCUUCAGCAGAUUCUUCGGGAAGGGCUCAUGGGAUGACAUUCCCUGACUGUUGGUGGCAUAUUUACGAUUUUUGCCUUUAUUCUUGUGAAA